rnacentral:tRNA from 1 species
AGGUGAUUAGUUAAAAGGCAUAAUAUUUGAUUUCGGCUCAAAAGUUUAUGGUUCAACCCCAUAAUUAACCUG